rnacentral:antisense_RNA from 1 species
AGGUAUGACAUUGCUCACAUUGCUUCCAGUGUUUUAUUUAGAUAGCCAGCUCGGGUGCUGGCUUUUUUUU